rnacentral:lncRNA from 1 species
CAGGGGUUUAUUAAUGUUUGAGAUAUAUUCCAAAAGGUCUAGCGUGGUUUUGGCAAAAGAAUAUGUUUUAGAAUAUUAAUUUGUAUUUGACUUUUGUUUCUUGGAAAGAGGGAGAUGCACGGGAAUUCAUAGUAGAUGAUAUGUGACCCUACCUGAGGGUGACUCAAUUCCGUGCUUGGGGUUCAAAGUGUUUGCUAUUCAUAACCUGGGUAAUGGGUUAGUGAUGGGUUGUCGCACCCCAUACAAAUUUAAUGUGCAUAAGAGAAUGAAGUAUAACUAGGAAGUGACUCCUAGGUCGUCUCUCAAGGACCAACUGCGA